GUGGGGAAUAUUGCACAAUGGGCGCAAGCCUGAUGCAGCGACGCCGCGUGGGGGAUGACGGCCUUCGGGUUGUAAACCUCUUUCAGUGCCGACGAAGCGUAAGUGACGGUAGGCACAGAAGAAGGACCGGCCAACUACGUGCCAGCAGCCGCGGUAAUACGUAGGGUCCGAGCGUUGUCCGGAAUUACUGGGCGUAAAGAGCUCGUAGGUGGUUUGUCGCGUUGUCCGUGAAAACUCACAGCUUAACUGUGGGCGUGCGGGCGAUACGGGCAGACUUGAGUACUGCAGGGGAGACUGGAAUUCCUGGUGUAGCGGUGGAAUGCGCAGAUAUCAGGAGGAACACCGGUGGCGAAGGCGGGUCUCUGGGCAGUAACUGACGCUGAGGAGCGAAAGCGUGGGGAGCGAACAGGAUUAGAAACCCGGGUAGUCC
rnacentral:rRNA from 1 species